rnacentral:rRNA from 1 species
AUACAUGCAAGUCGAGCGCAGGAAACCAGAUGACCCCUUCGGGGUGAUUCUGGUGGAAUGAGCGGCGGACGGGUGAGUAACACGUGGGCAACCUGCCUGUAAGACUGGGAUAACUUCGGGAAACCGGAGCUAAUACCGGAUAGUAUUUCCUUUCUCCUGAUUGGAAAUGGAAAGACGGUUUCGGCUGUCACUUACAGAUGGGCCCGCGGUGCAUUACCUAGUUGGUGGGGUAAUGGCCCACCAAGGCGACGAUGCAUAGCCGACCUGAGAGGGUGAUCGGCCACACUGGGACUGAGACACGGCCCAGACUCCUACGGGAGGCAGCAGUAGGGAAUCUUCCGCAAUGGACGAAAGUCUGACGGAGCAACGCCGCGUGAGCGAUGAAGGCCUUCGGGUCGUAAAGCUCUGUUGUUAGGGAAGAACAAGUACGAGAGUAACUGCUCGUACCUUGACGGUACCUAACCAGAAAGCCCCGGCUAACUACGUGCCAGCAGCCGCGGUAAUACGUAGGGGGCAAGCGUUGUCCGGAAUUAUUGGGCGUAAAGGGCUCGUAGGCGGUUUCUUAAGUCUGAUGUGAAAGCCCACAGCUCAACUGUGGAGGGUCAUUGGAAACUGGGGAACUUGAGUGCAGAAGAGGAGAGUGGAAUUCCACGUGUAGCGGUGAAAUGCGUAGAUAUGUGGAGGAACACCAGUGGCGAAGGCGACUCUCUGGUCUGUAACUGACGCUGAGGAGCGAAAGCGGGCA